UUAUUGGAGAGUUUGAUCCUGGCUCAGGACGAACGCUGGCGGCGUGCUUAACACAUGCAAGUCGAGGGCACGGGGCAACCCGUGACCGGCGAACGGGUGCGUAACACGUGAGCGACCUGCCGAUCUGCGGGGGAUAGCCGGCCCAACGGCCGGGUAAUACCGCAUACGUUCAAGCGAGGGCAUCCUUGUUUGAGGAAACUUUCGGGGCGGAUCGAGGGGCUCGCGGCCUAUCAGCUAGUUGGCGGGGUAACGGCCCACCAAGGCGUCGACGGGUAGCUGGUCUGAGAGGAUGGCCAGCCACAUUGGGACUGAGAUACGGCCCAGACUCCUACGGGAGGCAGCAGUGGGGAAUAUUGCGCAAUGGCCUAACGGCUGACGCAGCGACGCCGCGUG
rnacentral:rRNA from 1 species